rnacentral:rRNA from 1 species
AAACCAACAGGGAUUGCCCCAGUAACGGCGAGUGAAGCGGCAACAGCUCAAAUUUGAAAUCUGGCCCCCAGGGCCCGAGUUGUAAUUUGCAGAGGAUGCUUUUGGCGAGGUGCCUUCCGAGUUCCCUGGAACGGGACGCCACAGAGGGUGAGAGCCCCGUCUGGUUGGACGCCGAGCCUCUGUAAAGCUCCUUCGACGAGUCGAGUAGUUUGGGAAUGCUGCUCUAAAUGGGAGGUAUAUGUCUUCUAAAGCUAAAUACUGGCCAGAGACCGAUAGCGCACAAGUAGAGUGAUCGAAAGAUGAAAAGCACUUUGAAAAGAGGGUUAAACAGUACGUGAAAUUGUUGAAAGGGAAGCGCUCAUGACCAGACUUGGGCCCGGUGAAUCAUCCAGCGUUCUCGCUGGUGCACUUUGCCGGGCUCAGGCCAGCAUCAGUUUGCCUCGGGGGACAAAGGCUGCGGGAAUGUGGCUCCCUCGGGAGUGUUAUAGCCCGCUGCACAAUACCCUGGGGCGGACUGAGGUUCGCGCAUCUGCAAGGAUGCUGGCGUAAUGGUCAUCAGCGA